AAGGUACCGUUUCCCCCUACAUUUUCGCCUAUUUACCAAUCCCAAUCGCUACGCUGCACCAAAAUCUAACAAAAACCACCAAACUUUCUUAGGGUUCUACGCUAACAAUCAUAAUCGGAAAUUUACUUGUAUUUCAACAUAGCUAAACGUAAUUCCAGAAUAAAAACACAGGGUGGAAAAUUAUGAGCGAUUCGAAAGUGGGUAUUGAUGAGAGUGGUGUAUAUGAGUGUGAUCUGGGAUUAGAUAGAGAGAUGAGGUACCUUGGUGAAGAUCAGAGGCGAAAACGACGAGAGGCGCGAGCAGAUCUUCGAUGCGCAGACCAGACUUGAGUUGAAGUCGCGAGUGAAGCAGAGAAGAACCGCCUUUUUACUCAACUACCUCGCUCCGACCCGAAGAAGUAAAACAGUUGACUAGUUUUGGGCCGGUAC
rnacentral:lncRNA from 1 species